CUUGUGUGUUUUUGUCAAGCUCUCCAGUUUCUGCCUGCCCCUCGUUGGAUUUGUUUGCCUUGAACGUUACAGGGGGGAUAAAAGUGGACGCUGUAAUGCAGAAUCACCAAAAGAGUCACUCACAGAAAACAAAAAACACAUCAGAGCCUGAGUCAGAUGGACCUCUAAACCCACCAAAACAGAAAAAUGGUCCAGAGGAGGACACAGUGACGCAGGAAACCUAAAAUGUGGGAAAGAAGUCAAAGAUGCAAUAGGCAGAGCCACAAGUCACACCUCAACACAGGAUGUGUGUUGCUUCUAUCAUGCUGAGCCGAAUGACUGGCUGGGAAACUGCACAUAAAAAAAAAAAAAAAGAUCUCAAUCAUCAAUUAGCAGUUUUAUGCAGGUUGUUUAAACACAGGUGAUUUGAGACAUUUGGUCCAAUAACAUCUGGAAUGUUUAGAGAAGCGGAAGUUAAAAUCUGCCAACUCGGUCGGCCAAAGCACAGCGCCAGUAGACUUCCAACAGGGUUUGUGUAAAAUCUCGACAGUGACUCAGCCUCUUGUAGCCUCUGGAUCGAGCCCAGUUGAUCUGGUUCUGGAGAAAGUCUGACGGAUUAGACGUAAUGUCACAGCCUCAGUUUCCUGGAGCGAAAGCGCUCAACAUUGGUUGCGAGGGAAGCUGGAAAAACGUGUCCAUGCAUGGCGAGGAUACAGUGAGGUCACACAGAAACAGAGACCCCCCUCACAUGAGUCACUCUGGUGCAGCUGGGAGGAGCGCCAGCAUCAAAGUCUGCCAACAGGAAGGUGCACUUGGCUGUAUACUGUUGAACUAUUGUAAGAGGUUGUUCAUGUUGUCUGAGAGCUGCACGUCUGUCAGCCAUAUCCCUCUCCUGCACGCCUGAACGUCAGCAGAUCAAAAGAGAUCGAAGGACGGCUUUCUUCUCAUGUUUGUGAACUGAACUUUAACGAGAAAGGAAGGAAGGAGGUGAGACAGAGCAGGGCUGUGGACGAGAACCAGCCAUCUUCCUAGCUUCCAGAGUGGAAAUCAUCAUCAGGUUCCAGCACUGCUCAGUUUAUCUUGACAUGCUUCCAUAAAUGAUAUGGGAGGGAAAUACCUCAAGAGGGAGGAAGGAAACCCAGUGGACCGUGGAGCUGUUCGAAUAAGCAAAUGUUGUUUAAUCAUCACUGGUAAAUCCAGACACUUCAAUAAAGAAAGAAUUAAGGAUGCGGUCCAUUAAAGAUGAUUUAUUUCUGGACAGUGUUGGAGGUGAUCACUGUUCAUUCCUGUCCUGUUGUGAAGCCAAUAAAACUCAACUUUCCAGAUAUAAAAAUAACUUGAUCGCCAGUAUUCUAAACUUUCAGACCGAGUGGCUGAAAUUUCACAUUCCCUCACAGUGAGUCUCUCUCCUGUUACAACUGGCUCCGUGACGUGAAACGUGACAAUAUAACGCUUUAGAUGAAAAUCACAGAUGUCUGCAGGAAGUUGGAUUGGCGGUUUAGAUAACAUGUGACUUUCUUUGCGUGGAGGUUGUUGUUUCCAAUAGCAAAGAUGAUUUUGUAGCAGCAUCAGUCAAAUAGAGGAAAGAGAUGGAGACAACUUCCAGUGAGUCAGAGCAGGGAGGUGGAGCCGGCUGCUGGAUUAUUAUUCUUACAUGUUCACACAGUAGAAGAGAAGAUAUGGAUCAGGAUUUGGAUUGUUACACAGGAACAAGGAAGGGUUGUUAACGCAGAUCCUCUACGAAUACCAUUCUUUUGUGUCUUGUUUUUCUUUUUUUUUUGGGUGCAUUUCAAGCAGAUUUUCAAGAUUGUUUCCCAAAUAAACCCGUAACCAUGGAAACCAACUUUAAACUGGCCAUUAAAAAGUGAUCACACCUCCCGUUGUCUCCUUCGUCUUCCUUUUGCAGGUUUCUUGCAGGAAAAAAUCUGACAAUCUUCUGAUGUUGACGAAAGAUGUCAGUCAUCCAGGUGAAGGUAAAUCUGGGUGCCGUAUCGUAGCCGAUGUUACAAUCAGUUUUUGUGAACCCAAAUUUUUAAUUUCA